rnacentral:rRNA from 1 species
AUGGAGCCGCCGCCGCCGUUCUUAGCAAUUUCGGUCACCGUGGCGACCUUGGCUGCUGGCGUAUUCGCCAUAUAUUUCUACGCACCUUCAUGGCGCGUACGUAGGGUCCCCGGUCCGAUGGCUUACCCGCUGAUCGGCCACCUGCCGUUGCUCGCCAAGCACGGGCCGGCGGUGUUCACGGUCCUCAGAGAGAGAUUCGGGCCCAUCUACAGGUUUCACAUGGGUAGACAGCCGCUAGUUAUGAUUGCAGACCCCGAGCUGUGCAGAGAGGUGGGAAUCCAGAAGUUCAAGAGCAUCCCCAACAGAAGCGUCCCUAGUCCUAUUCGCAGCUCGCCUAUUCACAACAAAGGCCUCUUCUUUACGAGGUUGGAUGUGUGCACCUUUAUUACUUUAUAUCUUCUUCCGUAUAUAUCCUUGACUGAAUCAACGGUGCGAAUUAAAACAUGGACGCCUUUAGAGAUUUCAUGA